UCGUGGCUCGUCGCUCCAAAAGAAGGGUAUAAGAAACGUCGUGGUGUCGCAUCAGUUGUGCAAGGAAAUGGCGGAGGUGGAGCCCGUUCGCCCGUCAGCACGCUAAUCAUGAAUGAAGGCUGCUACCUCGAGCGAAGAUUUAGCCGCGAAACGAGCCAGACUUCGAAAAGACCGUGCACGUAGAGUUGGGAGAUAGAACAUUAAUGAUCAGGAACAACCAUGAACGAAGUGAGUAGCGGUAAACAGGAGAUCGCCAGCACGUCGGCCUGGGACAAUAUGAUGAACCCACCGGUGAGUACGUUGCCGACGAUGCAUCAUCUGAACCCGGUACCCCAUCAGAGCCAGGAGACGAUUCCCGCAGCUGCGAUUACGCAAGUUAUUGUGCCUACGCCCGUCAAGCUGCAGCCACCUAUGGUGCUCCCUUCACCGCCCAUCGUCGGGGAACAUCUCAAUGUUAUACCACACGUGCAACAGCCCAUCAUUGUCCAGGGUCCUGCACCACCCGGUUUUGUAGAACCAGAUUUGCCCGUUGAAUUGCAGCAGCAGGGCUGGAAAAAGUUUUGGAGCAAGAGAGAAAACAGACCAUACUUUUGGAACAAGUUGACCGGAGAGUCAUUGUGGGUAAUGCCGCCUCUAAAACCACAGUUUGAUCCUAUUACGGAUCCUUUGGGUAUUGGUGUACCUUCGGUACCUGGAAAUGGACUAGUCCCUCCUGGGACACCGGGAGGUCCACUCAAACGCAGAGCAUCAGAAGAUGGAAAUGCAUUACCUCCACAGAAAAAAUUUAUCUUGGCGGGACCAUGGGACAUAGAGAUACCUACAAAUGUUAUUAUUUACGAAAGAGCACCUACCACGCUUUUUCACGUACAUCCGGAUGUUGAAGCACUCCGAUGCGGCUUGCUCGCCAAAUUGAGGCAAUGUUAUCAAGAACUUUGCCACACUAGAGAAUCCAUCGAUGCUCCAAAAGACUCUUUCAAUCGUUGGCUUAUGGAACGUAAAGUGAUCGAUUGUGGAUCGGAUCCUCUACUCCCUAGUCAAUGUUUCCCCGAAAUAUCCCAAUCGAUGUAUCGCGAAAUCAUGAACGACAUACCGAUUAAACUCAUAAGGCCCAAAUUCACGGGUGACGCGCGUAAACAGUUGUCCCGGUACGCGGAAGCUGCAAAAAAAGUGAUAGAGUCGAGGGACGCCUCGCCAGACAGUAGAAAGGUCGUUAAAUGGAACGCAGAGGACACGUUUCAGUGGUUGAGGAAAACCGUUGGUGCGACGUUUGACGAUUUUCAAGAUAGACUCGCGCAUCUGAAACGACAGUGUCAGCCACAUUUGACAGAAACUGUCAAAGCUAGCGUUGAGGGAAUAUGUUUGAAAAUAUACAACUUGUCGGCAGAAUACGCGAAAAAAGUAAAAGACAAGAAUGCUCAGUUACUUAAAGACAACAAUCUGGCGGACGCCAUUCCCGCAGGUGGACCAGCUAGUACGCAAAGAAAAGUAUGGUGCUACCCAAUACAAUUCUCUCUUCCAACCCCAAGACUUCCACAGAUUGAAUAUUUGCCAGAGAGAGAACAGACGAUGCUACGCUUCCACGGUGACACAGUAUGUAUCAACAAUACACACUUGGCCAAACUCGAGCAUCUUUACAGACAUAAUUGUUUCGACGACCGCAAAUUUGAGAUGUUUCUGCCGCGUGUUUGGUGCAUGCUUAAACGCUAUCAGACGUAUUUAGGCAGCACGGAGAGCCUAUCAACGCAGAUGGCACUUCCCGUGACGGUGUUUGAGUGCCUUCAGCGGUCCUUUGGGGUGAGCUUCGAGUGUUUCGCGUCGCCGCUUAACUGUUACUUCCGACAGUACUGCUCAGCCUUUGCUGAUACUGAUUCGUACUUCGGCUCGAGAGGUCCAUUCUUGGACUUUAGGCCAAUCAGCGGAAGUUUUCAGGCUAACCCACCUUAUUGCGAAGAAUUAAUGGAAGCAAUGGUUAAUCAGUUUGAAAGACUCCUUGCUGAUUCAACUGAACCAUUAUCGUUUGUCAUAUUUUUGCCUGAAUGGAGAGAUCCAGCCCCAAAUGCGCUAAUUAAACUAGAAGGUAGUCACUUUAAGCGAAAACAAGUCGUUGUACCAGCUAUGGAGCACGAGUACAGGCAUGGCUUUCAACACGUUCUUCCAAAAGGUGAGGUGAAUAUCAGGGCAAUUUAUGGCACUCUCAUCGUCUGGAUGCAAAAUCCAGCAGGUUUUGCACGCUGGGGGCCAACCGAAGAGCGUGUAGAAGCUCUCCUAGAAGCUUGGCGCCCAGGUCGCGAGCGCGAACGUGAUCGUCAGGAGCUGUUGUCUCCUCCAAGACAAUCCGUACCUCUGCAGACGCCAGUUCAACAGCCAGCCUCGGCUAUGGCCACAGUACCACCUUUGACCGCAACGGUGCUACCGAUGACACCUAGCUUACCAGUGCCUACGACCAGCACCAAUCCAGUGGUAUCUACCAUCACUCCUGCGACGCCCAACAACGUCACCACGACGAUAACAACGCCGCCGACGAUCGUCAGUUCGCAUACCAUUUGAGACGAGAACUUGUUGACGUGCUCCAAGCCGUUGACGACGACUUCUCUGAAUAAAAAUGCCUAAAGGUCCCGCGAUGAUUUACACUGGACUAUUAUAUUUUCAGUUGA
rnacentral:misc_RNA from 1 species